rnacentral:rRNA from 1 species
CAAUAGCGUAUAUUAAAGUUGUUGCAGUUAAAAAGCUCGUAGUUGGAUUUCGGGGCAGCCUGGCUGGUCCGCCGCAAGGCGAGUACUGGUCAGCCGCCCUUCCUCUCGAAAGCCCCGACUGCUCUUUAUUGCAGUGGUCGGGUAGUUCGGGACGUUUACUUUGAAAAAAUUAGAGUGUUCAAGGCAGGCCUACGCCUGAAUACAUUAGCAUGAAAUAAUGGAAGAGGACCUCGGUCCUAUUUUGUUGGUUUCCAGGACCGAAGUAAUGAUUAAGAGGGACAGUUGGGGGCAUUCGUAUUUAAUUGUCAGAGGUGAAAUUCUCGGAUUUAUGAAAGACGAACAACUGCGAAAGCAUUUGCCAAGGAUGUUUUCAUUAA